rnacentral:rRNA from 1 species
GUGGGGAAUUUUGGACAAUGGGCGAAAGCCUGAUCCAGCCAUGCCGCGUGCAGGAUGAAGGCCUUCUGGUUGUAAACUGCUUUUGUACGGAACGAAAAGACUCCUUCUAAUAAAGGGGGUCCAUGACGGUACCGUAAGAAUAAGCACCGGCUAACUACGUGCCAGCAGCCGCGGUAAUACGUAGGGUGCAAGCGUUAAUCGGAAUUACUGGGCGUAAAGCGUGCGCAGGCGGUUAUAUAAGACAGAUGUGAAAUCCCCGGGCUCAACCUGGGAACUGCAUUUGUGACUGUAUAGCUAGAGUACGGUAGAGGGGGAUGGAAUUCCGCGUGUAGCAGUGAAAUGCGUAGAUAUGCGGAGGAACACCGAUGGCGAAGGCAAUCCCCUGGACCUGUACUGACGCUCAUGCACGAAAGCGUGGGGAGCAAACAGGAUUAGAAACCCGAGUAGUCC